ensembl:lncRNA GAS5 growth arrest specific 5
GUCUUUUCGAGGUAGGAGUCGACUCCUGUGAGGUAUGGUGCUGGGUGCAGAUGCAGUGUGGCUCUGGAUAGCACCUUAUGGACAGUUGUGUCCCCAAGGAAGGAUGAGAAUAGCUACUGAAGUCCUAAAGAGCAAGCCUAACUCAAGCCAUUGGCACACAGGCAUUAGACAGAAAGCUGGAAGUUGAAAUGGUAAGUGAAACUGUAUCCAAGUAAGCAGGUAACUGGGCAAACUUCCUACGGCACAAAUGGCUUUUUAGUUACCUCCUAGUGCUGAAUGCAUUAAAUAAAUGGCGGAUUCUUGUCUUGUUAUGAUUAAUAAGAAAGUUUGUAAAUGCAGCCUGGAUGAUGAUAAGCAAAUGCUGACUGAACAUGAAGGUCUUAAUUAGCUCUAACUGACUAAAGGCAUUUGUUAGUUUUGGCAGGGGGUGAACACUCAUCUGUGGCUAUUCUAAGACCACUCUUAUUUCUUAGGUGGAGUCCAACUUGCCUGGACCAGCUUAAUGGUUCUGCUCCUGGUAACGUUUUUAUCCAUGGAUGACUUGCUUGGGUAAGGACAUGAAGACAGUUCCUGUCAUACCUUUUAAAGGUAUGGAGAGUCGGCUUGACUACACUGUGUGGAGCAAGUUUUAAAGAAGCAAAGGACUCAGAAUUCAUGAUUGAAGAAAUGCAGGCAGACCUGUUAUCCUAAACUAGGGUUUUUAAUGACCACAACAAGCAAGCAUGCAGCUUACUGCUUGAAAGGGUCUUGCCUCACCCAAGCUAGAGUGCAGUGGCCUUUGAAGCUUACUACAGCCUCAAACUUCUGGGCUCAAGUGAUCCUCAGCCUCCCAGUGGUCUUUGUAGACUGCCUGAUGGAGUCUCAUGGCACAAGAAGAUUAAAACAGUGUCUCCAAUUUUAAUAAAUUUUUGCAAUCCAUCUGGA